UAGCAUGAAGUCAAACAAAAAAACCCGCUAAUUUUAA
rnacentral:rRNA from 1 species